rnacentral:rRNA from 1 species
UACGUAGGGGGCUAGCGUUGUCCGGAUUUAUUGGGCGUAAAGAGCGUGUAGGCGGCCAGAUAGGUCUGCUGUGAAAACUCGAGGCUCAACCUCGAGAUGUCGGCGGAAACCAUUUGGCUAGAGUCCGGAAGAGGAAAGUGGAAUUCCUGGUGUAGCGGUGAAAUGCGCAGAUAUCAGGAGGAACACCGGUGGCGAAGGCGGAUCUCUGGGCCUUACCUGACGCUGAGGCGCGAAAGCUAGGGGAGCGAACAGG